UACGUAGGGUGCGAGCGUUGUCCGGAAUCAUUGGGCGUAAAGAGCGUGUAGGCGGUCCGUUAAGUCGGCUGUGAAAGUCCAAGGCUCAACCUUGGGAUGCCGGUCGAUACUGCCGGACUAGAGUUCGGAAGAGGCGAGUGGAAUUCCCGGUGUAGCGGUGAAAUGCGCAGAUAUCGGGAGGAACACCUAUGGCGAAGGCAGCUCGCUGGGACGUUACUGACGCUGAGACGCGAAAGCGUGGGGAGCAAACAGG
rnacentral:rRNA from 1 species